rnacentral:piRNA from 2 species
UUUCAACCAAUUAGACUGAAAGC